AUUCAUCAAAAGAUUGGUUUAAUUUCAAACAACUUGGAAUAGCUAUAUUCAAACCGAGAAGUAAAUGAAGAGUUUCUGUGGGUACAUAUUGGAAAAAGAAAAACACUAAACGUGCAGAUUUUGUAAUUGGCUUAUGGUGGUGAAUUUUUAUGUAUUUUCUUCUUUAGUUUUUAUUACUAUGUUUCAUGGUAUUUUACCAACAUUUGUAUGCAGAUCUUAUGCUUGCAGGGAUCACCAGAUGGACCUGAACCGUAAGUUCCUUUUCUUUUUAUGGUUAUUCAUACAUUCCACCUCUGGCUUUUAGACUCCAGAAUGAUUUCUUCUUUUCAGAUAUGUUGCAAUCAUGAAUGCAAUAUUCUCUGCCCAACGCUCUGAGGUUCCUAUAGAUUCUUGUUACAUCGGUGCACAGAAUUCAGCCUUUCUGCAACAGGUAUGGCACCUUUAGUAAUGCUCUCUUACUGGCCUUAUGCUGCAAACAGACAUUGG